rnacentral:miRNA from 2 species
AUGUGUAUAAUUUGGCCAUCAUA